GAUAUUUUGAAGAGUUGUGUGAGCCAUUCUAACCCCCAAAUCCGACCACUCUCCCUCCCUCAUUCACUCUCAUCUGAUUUUUGAAGACUCUCUCAAGUGUUCUCUCCAUUUUCAACCCCAAGAACACCAAAGAAACUUGGAGGCUAAGUCUUGGUCUAGGAAGUAUUUUCCCUAAGUUGGUUAGGGUUUUUGAAAGGUUUUGGAGGAGCCAAAGCUAAUAGGAAGGUCCAAACCUUAAGCAAGAACACCAAAGAGUAUUGGCUAAGCGUAACUGGACUGAACGUUGGAGGGUGAAAACUUGCUGAGCGCUAAGGACUCCAAGUAAGU